rnacentral:rRNA from 1 species
AGACGUAGGGGGCAAGCGUUGUCCGGAAUUACUGGGCGUAAAGGGUGCGUAAGUCGGCAUUACAAGUCUAAUGUGAAAUCCCCGUGCUUAACAUGGGGUUUGCAAUAGAAACUGUAAAGCUAGAGUGCAGGAGAGGUAAGUGGAAUUCCUAGUGUAGCGGUGAAAUGCAUAGAUAUUAGGAGGAACACCAGUGGCGAAGGCGGCUUACUGGUCCAUUACUGACGCUGAGGAGCGAAAGCGUGGGGAGC